UACGUAGGGGGCAAGCGUUGUCCGGAUUUAUUGGGCGUAAAGCGCUCGCAGGUGGUUCGUCGCGUCGUGCGUGAAAGACCCCGGCUCAACUGGGGAGGGUCGUGCGAUACGGGCGGACUGGAGGCCAGUAGGGGUCGCGGAAUUCCCGGUGUAGAGGUGAAAUUCGUAGAUAUCGGGAGGAACACCGGUGGCGAAGGCGGCGACCUGGGUCGAUACUGACGCUGAGGUGCGAAAGCGUGGGAGCAACAGG
rnacentral:rRNA from 1 species